GAGAGAGAAAGAGAGAGAGAGAGAGACAGAGAGACAGAGAGACAGAGAGACAGAGAGACAGAGAGAGAGAUUUGGGUACAUGUGUCUCUCAUACACUUUUAAGGGCUUGAAAUUUUCCUUUCAUACUCAUCCAUUUGGGGAGGUUCUUGAGGAAGUACCUGUGUUGGAUAGAAUGUCUUCUAACACAAGGCAGAAACUUGUAACUCAAAUGACAUAUCCAGAAGAAUGCAAAUGUUACCUAAGAAAAAUACCACUGGUCUUCCUCACAUCCAGGUCCUAGCCUAGAACAUGUAAUAUGUGAAGAGGUGUAUAUGUAGGUGAAGUUCAAAUAUGUAGAAGGGAGAUGAAGGGCAGGUAAUAUUAGUUAAUGAGGAAGAGUAGUGUGUAAUUUUAAAGAGCCGUGAGCUGUGAGCUGUACAUAAAGCUUCCCCCUCUCCAGUAGUUGUCCCACCUCACCUACGUGGAUUAUUUGAAUUAAAAUUGCAUUCAAAAAGAACCCACACAUGUUAUUCUUAGGAACAGUAGUUAUGAAAGGUGGACUUUCUUUUUAAUCCCAUGGAUUAUUAGCACAAUAGUGACUAGACAUGACUGGUUGCUCAACACAUAUGUGGUUUUAACCCACUUAGAAAAAAAAGAGGUUACAUUUUUUCCCUAGGGGGAGGGGUUUUGUUACCUGAAAUUUUUUCUGUUUUUUUCUAUCUCUUUAAAACUAUAUCAAAUCAUUGUUUUACUUAAUUCACAAUUCACUUUGCCAUACACAAAGCAAAGCAUGACUUAAAAGGAAUGAAAUUUGGAGAGAUAUAGAGAAUUGUAAGAAAGAGCUGUAAUCAUGAAAAUUCUGAUCAAUUCCAUUGUGUACAAUAAUAGAUAUUCUUAGUUACCUUUCAAUUUUUAGAUUCAACUCAAAGGUGAAAGCUGGCUAUUGGAUCAGUUAUAACGGCCAUCAAUUUUGACAGUGAGGAAGGGUCUAUGUACUACACUGGGAUGUAUGUAGAAGGUAGGGGGAAGGACAUACACUUGUCUGGUGCUAUACUGAUCUUUCACGGUAACCAACCGAGGGAUCAAAGGCAUUGUCUUUGGAUGAUAGAAAAAUGUAAUAUGUACAAACUGUAAUAAUAGCAAUAACAAAUAAUGACUAAAAACUAAGAAUGAAGGACAUCAUUUUUAGUACUAAGACACUGGAUUUAGGAUGAGGCCAUAUGACCUAAGUCUUAAUCCAUCAUACAGAGUUUACAAAAGUAGUGUAUCAAGUGAACAAAUUAAGAGAUGGAUAGGCUACAAAGCAUAAUAUGCCUAGAUAAAUACCCCAAAGAGUGGUGUUUGCUUUGGGAAACGGUAGGGGUGGGAGCUUAUCACUGCAAGGCCUUUUCAUUAUUCCUUAUCUCAACCAUGUGCUUAUAAACUACUCAGUAAUUAGAAAUAUAUCACUAACAUGAUUCAUGUUUACCUUCUGUCAUCUUGAUGUAGUCACAUUUUGUAGCAUCCAUUUCCUACAUACAAUUGUAUUACAAGCAUUUUCCCAGAUAGAUGCAGAGCCUGUAUGAGCGCUCAUUUAAAGAGCUAUAAAAUAUUUUGUACCUUUAUUUCUGGCAUUCAUACUCUUCUUGGGUCACUCUGACUGUGAACAACUGAAAAGCAGUUGCUGAAGUUUGGGGCAACAAAUUAUGGUCACCAAAUACGGGUUGUGGGCUUUUCCUCUGGAAAGAACUAAAUCUUGUCCAGUGCCUCAUUAGCACUGUGCAUUAACUGAGUUCAAAGCAUUUAGCAGAGCUGUGUAGAGGUCCGGUUCAUGGCAGCAACCCUGGGUGGUGCCCAUAUACCCUAGACCCUCGAUGCCUUAGGCUGCUCCAAGACAGCCUGGAUAACAUCACCCUAAGGCCUGCCCUCUGCACUGACACUGCCCUCAAGUUCAUUGGAAAUGGACUGAUGGAAAGAGGAGGCUUCAUUUGCAAAGCAAGAGCAUGGUUUUAAUUAUCCUUUAGAUCCAUAAAAAGGCCAUGGUGGUGGAGAUAGAUUUACGAGUUUCAAUUCUCUUCUUGCCGUUUAUAAACCAGUAUUUAUCAGGUGUGGGGCACAUGGCAGUUCUGGAGAGUGCCAGACAGGGAUCAAAAGCAGAGCAUAAAACCCUUCCCCUUUCAACAAUCCUAAUCUCCACCUUCUAUUCAUAAAUGGCUGCAUUACCCUCCUGGCUCACAAGGGAGAUGCAUUCUGGCCCUAUGCUGUCCCAGGCAUCAGGCAGGAGCGAGAAGCUGGCUCCUGCAUGCCAGGUUGGCUUGCCUCCCUUUGCUGCUUUCUUCAGAAGAACAGAGCAAUGGCCAGGGGUACUGGAUGGAGGACUUUGUAUUGCCAUUGUGUUAGAGUGCUUCUUCACAGGAAGGUGUUCGUGUUCCUUCCUGCUAAUGCAUCACAUUGUGGGAAGGCUGGAGAGAGAAUGACAGUUCAUUCCUUAGGUGACACUGCGUUUUGUGUUCAUCUGCUCCACUACAUUACCAAGUCAUGGACGGUUCUAAUGAAAACCUAGGAUCUGAUUCCCUCUUUCAGGUUGGUGCUGAUGCUAAUUAGGAAGUAAUCUUGUAUAUGAUAGAUUCCUAGACUAUGGGGAUAAUUUUCAGUAUUGUUGAGUUUGGGAACAGAUUUGCUCACCAGAGGAGUUUCAGACUAACUCCCGUUCUGCCAGAAAGCAUGAUGCAAUGUGAUGAUGUUGGAGCCCUAAUUCUGGUGCACUGGCAGUUGAAGACAAGACCCCAAAGGAAGCAAUUAAGACUGAAUGAUGACCUGAAAGUAGAGACUCACUAACAGGAUUAACAUCCUUAUGAGUAAAGACUAAGAACACUCACUCCCUUCCUCCUGUCUUGGAGGACUAAUGAGAAGGAAGUUGGCCUUUUACCCAGCCCCAAAGACAGCUGUUACUCCAACUGCAUUUACUGGUAGAUUGAUCUUGGUCUGUUCUUCAGAACCAUGAGAAAAUGAAUCUCAGUGGUCUAAGUCAGCCUACUGUUUUCUGGCAGGGCAGCCAGGACUGACGGGUAGAUGAGCAGGAUCUCAAAUCAAAGAGUAUUGAUGGUUGAGGAUGGGUUGAAUGGCAAGAAUCCCUAUCCCUGAAAGUAACAGGAUUGUGUCAUUAGUGAAAGUUAAGAGGGGAGCUGAGAGCAUGUACUGGAGAUGUCUGCCAGGCCCUGCCCUCUGGGUGUGUCUCAAUAUCUUGGAUUGGAGUUUUCUGAGCACCAGACUUGGGAAACGUGAGCACAUUUACUACUAGGAAAGAACAGAUUUUCCUUGAUUUCUCUGCUUCCAUUAGAGAAGAUACUUUACUUUUCCUCUUUAUGCUGCUUAGAAUAUAUCUACUUUGCUUUAGAGAAAGUAUUGCUUUGUAAAACUCUAAAGGGUAGAAACUACAAUGUGUACGAUGUGAGCUCCAUGGAAGUGUAGAAAUCGCUGCUUUUCUUCCCUAUUGAGGUGUAGUCCAGCCCAGUACCUGGAACUCUGUAAGCACUAAAUACCAACUUAUUGAGUAAUAUGCCAAAAGUCUGACUCCACAUGGGUUAGGGACACCUUACUCUGGACAGACUUAGUUUCAGUGUCAACCAUGUUAGCUUGGAACACAUCAUCACUUGUUACUCAGACUAUGUUAAAUAUCCCACAAAGUUGUGAAGACCAUUUAUCCUCAAAGUAUGGUUAAAUCCAUUUAACUGUUCAGUAGUAGAAUUUGGGAAUAGUAAGUAGAUUUAGGGUCUAAAAACUUAGAGGCCACUGGAAAAGUUAGAAACAAUUACAGGUUUACCGGGUAGUUGUUAGCAUAGUGAUAUUUUUACUGGACUGGGGCACUCCUCCAGUAAAAGUAAUCUUAUAAAAACUUAAAUAUGACCAUGUUGCUCUUGCCUAAAGCACUCUAUUAUUUUUCUUGCUCUCCAGAAGCAAUCUUUCCUGCCUUUCUAUGAUCUACCUACUCAGACAAUGUCUGUAGCACAAUCUGUCACACAGAGGUAGCUCAGCCGAGCUAGUCUUGAUUGCUUAUUGAAGAUGCAAAGCAGUCUUUUGCCUCGGGUCUUCUUGCUUCCUAGUAACGCUUCCUGAAAUUCUCUUCCCACAGAACCCUGUGAUUCUGAAAUAACAACUUCCCCCUUUCCUAUCUCCCCACACAUCCCAAUGCAGGACCUCAAUUCUAAAUAAAGCUUUCCUCAUUACAGUACAUCCCUCAGUACUCAAGAUCAUUAUCAUACAUAGUUCCAAAUAAGUAUUUGUUGAAUAACUGAUUGAAACCUCUAGUUUAAUGGGGGGUACACCUGUGCUAAUAAAUACAUAUAGCUAGACCACAGAUAUCAAUGAAUGAAUUGUCAGCUCCCAUAAGUAGUGUUUUUAAAAUUUUAAAAUUUAUUCUUCCUGUCUUUCACAUUAUGCCUCCCAAUCCCACCUAUCUUCCUCUGUAUCCCAAAAUAAAACAAAAUGAAAUUUAAGAGAAAAAGAGGGGAAAUAUAAAGAAACAGGAAGAAGGGGGAAUCCGAUCAUGGAAGCUGCAGUGUAACAUAAUGAAGCAUGUGAAACACGCAGUAAAUCCCUUUAUUCACAUACUUUUACAUGCAGGCAUUUAUCAAGAAGAAACACUGGUCUGGUUCUAAGCUCCUGGUCUCUGCUGCACUAUUCAUGCUGGGUCCUCCUGGGAUCUUCCUGGAGAACCCAUUGCUGCUCUGUGUCGGGAAAACCCUGCAGCCCUGGGUCCACAGGACUGACACCCCUCCUCAUGCUCCAGCAGGUCAUAGGUGGGGUGGAUGUUGGAGUGGGCCAACACAUAGCCCUGUUUCUGGGACUGGGUACUUGCAGUUGAGCCUACCAGUGCUCCCCUGUCUUCUUCACCAGGGUGGGCUUCACAGCCUUGCCCUGGCUAGUUCACCCCUUGCAGUGAUGAGCAAGGGGCAGGCCCAGUCCUCCACUCUCAGGAUAGUUCUCCCACAACUACACUUUCAGGGCCAGCUCUACUGUGUUGCCCAAGGGAGGUGUAGGGGCCGCUCUACUCAGUGAUGCAGCUGAUGAUGGAUGGGGCAAUUCUCCUGUUCUUACCAACUCAGGGCUAGCUAUCCCAUCUGCCUUCGUGUUGAGGGGGGUAUCUCUCCCCAGCCCAUGCCACCUCAAGAGAGGUGAAUAAUGAGGAUAGCUCUCCCAUGCUCACAAUUUCAGGGCUGGCUCAACCACACCUCCAUCAAUGGGGUUGGCUCUAUUGUGCUGCCUAGGAAAAGUUGCAUAGUACUCUUACACAUGGUCCAUAGGCAGGUGUUAUUAUAAAAAAUGGAACCCUUGAGCAUUUAGGAAGAAGCAACAUGCUUAAAUUAGUCUAAUUUGUUAUAUCCUACAACUCAACAACAUCAGAAUCGAGCAGCUUAGAUACAAAAUGAGUCAAGUGCGAUUAUGGACAUGUCUCUAUAGAAGUUCUGUAGAAGAGGAGCAACAAAUAUUAUUGAGGAUUUAGAGACAUUGAAGCCACCAGGCCCUGUUGGCAGCAAAGAGAAAUGGAGGAUCAGAUGUGGAAGACAGAAUGGUGGUUACUCAAAACAAAGCAAAAAAUCUAGAAUGGCUAGAGCAUCCAGGUAUCUACUUCUAAGUAUGGAGACCAAAGAAUGAAAAGUGGGACUGUCAUUUGCACCUAUGUUAAUAGCCUUAAUAGCAGUGUUGUUCAUGGUACCUGAAAAGUUGAGGCAACCCAAACACUCAUUGAACCAUAAAUGUACAAGUAAAAUGUAGUCCACACACAAUAAAAUAUUACUUAACCUUAAAAAGGAAGGAAACUGGCACACGGUUGACUGUGGAUGCACCUUGAAGACAUUAUGUCAAGUAAAUAUGCCAGUCACUAAAGAAGAAGCCCAAUAUGAUUCCACUGGAGAAGUCAGAUUCGCAGAAGGAGAAAAUGGAAUGGCAGUUUCCCAGGGAAAUGCAAGGAGGAAAUGUGGAGCUGUGUAAUUGGUUCAGAGGCUCAGCUUAGGAGGAUUAGAUGUUUUGUGUGGUGACAAUGGCACAGCAACGUGAGAGCAUCUAAUGUCUUGGAACUGUACAUUUAAAAUGGGUUAAGUUGGUAAAUAAAUGUCGUGUGUAUUCUAUCACAACUUCAAUAAUCAUGUUCAGCUAAAAUACAUAAACCAGAAAAAUUUACUCAAAGGACCUUUUUUCUUCAGUCACUAGCUAUAAGAGGAAUGUCUUAAGAUAGCAGGUGAAGCAUUUGAAGGCAGUCAUAAGUGGAUGAACCUGAAAUUCCCAAACCAUCUCCCUGUAACCCCCAUCAAUCUUCUUUACUUGCUGCCCUGUUGUCUUUCUUCCAUGAUCUAGAUUCCAAAACACUCUUCUCUGUCAUCCAACUUGGGAAUACAGAGGACCACCCAGGUGGCUAGCAGUGGUCCCUGUUAGCAAGCUGUGUUCUCAUUCAGUGGAAAUGAAAUGAACCUGGAGGUGUUAUGAUAGACUUUGGAAAAGUGAAUAAAAAUCUUACCUUUCUUGUUUUCCAAAGCAUUUUCUAGAUCAAUGAAUACAGCUGACUUUCCAGAACAUGGUAUAGUGUAUAGAAAUUUUGCAAAUGGUUUUUGAGCACAGUUCUGUUUUCCAUCCCUAUGUAGUUUUCCAUGGGUGUUUCACUAGGAAGAUUGUUAUCUCUGCUGCCUUUGGUGGGUUCCAGCAGUUCUUGAGUUUUUGUGGGUGUGGCCCAGAACAGGAUUUCCUUCUGAUCUAGGCUAGGGGCCUCUUUAGCUCUUGGAAAGUACGGUCCUGAAAUUUCCUUGAGAAAGUGGAGAGGUGUUUUUGUUAUUGUGUUGUUUUGUUUUCGUUGUUAAUGCAAGACCUUGCUAUCUGUAUAUAUACGGGACACUACCACUUAAAGUGGACUGUCCACCUUUCUGAAGGACUCAGACUCAAGUUCCUUCAUCUCACUUCAGUAUUACAAAUCAUGCUUUGACUUUUUUCAAGGUUCUGAAAGCACAUAAGUUUACAUAUAUACAUAUAUAUGUAUCCACAGUUUUCUUUCAAAAUCCAAAGUUGCCAGAUGUCUUUUGUAACUAGGGAUAUUGUGAAUCUUAAAAUAUAGUAUAAGUUUAUAGUAUAAGUUUUAUGUUAUUAUAUCAUAACCUGUCAGGAUCUAGAGACAUAUCCUUUAGAUAAAAGUAUCUAUAUUUGAUUAAUAGUCAUAAUCAUUAGGACUAUAGCUAAAUAGUCAUAGUGAACAGAACUUUAACUAAAGGCUAUAAGUAAACCUGUAUAAAUCUAUAUCAGGUUUUGUUGCCAAAGAAGUUUAGUUAGUCAUUAAAAAUAUCUGAGUUUCAGAGCAUUUUGAACUUUAAAAAGGUGGCUAUAAGACAGCAGGCACACCAGUGGGAAAGUGGGUUUCUUGAAUCUUACAGGGAUUUUACUAAUACAAGGAUCUUGUCCUACUUCUGAAUGCUCUGACCUGUGGAGAAAAAGAAGAAAUUUUUGUACAUGGAGGACUCUUAGGGGGAAAGGGAGGGAGUAACGACUCCUUAAUCUACCCUCCGUAAGCGAGGCUGCAUGACGGCUGGUAUCUGACUGUAUGACUUCCAGUGACUCCCACCCUCUUGGUGUUCUAGCCUCCUCAUCUUCAACAGAAGGAUUGGGUAGUCAGCCUAUGGUCACUUCGUUCUUCUAAUCAAAUCAGACUAACAGCUUAACCGCCGUUGGUGUGUCUGGUUGGCAACAAGCAAACAAUAGACAACAUAAGGGCAAGGGGAACCCUUCCUCUUCUCCCUUACCCCUGCUCCAAAGAAGCCUUCAAGGACAGUGCUACCCUGAAAGACAUCCAUGGAAAUACAUUUCCUUCACUCUUAUCGGCAAGGAUGCUUUACUCCCAGCAUAUUGAAUUAGAUACAUAAACAUAGUAAAUGUGAGUUCAUUUAGAUCGAGUAAGUCAGAUUUACAAUCCCCAAUGAAAUACCAACAGAGGGAUUAACAUGGACUUUGAAGUCAUUCAGAUACAUAAUUCCCAAAAAUAUUUGUUAAAAAUCCAGACAUGAAACUUUACUCUUCUGUUUGUUUAUUUUUCUCUUUGGAGUCUAAAUAUCUCCCAAACACAUAGUUCCGAACAAGCAAAAAGCAGCAGGAGGAUUGAAAAAAAGCAAUAGAGGCUGAAUUUCAGUCCCAUAGACCUUAGCAAGAAGCAAAAAUAAACCCUCUAAACACGACUCCUUUUGCACAGUUCCCAGGCAGAUUCUCCCCUUCCCUAGUCUAGGUUUUGUUCUGCCUCUGCUGAUCUGCUGAUGUUGCAACCAGUGACUCCCACGUUAACCAAAGAUUCCCAGGAUUCUGCCUCCCUUUCCCUUCCAUGAGAGCUACCUACAAAAACAGGUAUUGGAAUAGAAACUGUCUGUUAAUUUUUUGCAUUAUCCUAGUUUAAGGAAAGUAUAACAGAUAUAUCAGUAGAACUUUAAUUGGCCCAAGCUUCCCCUUCAUCUAAGGGUAGUGAUCCAUCUGUUGCUAGAGCUAGCUGUAACGGGGCUAUCAGGAACGGUAGGUCUGAGAUCAGAACUCCUUUUUCCCAAUCCCCCAUGUGGACUGCCAUUCCAAAUUAAAAAGAUCAUUUCCUAUCUAAGUCAUUGUUGCAAUGAAGCCUGGUUAUGGCAUGGAGCGAGAGUUUCCACUGUAAUAUGUGCUUCAUGUAGCUGAGGCUUACCAAGUUCAGCACCUGAGAAAAAUUAAGAGGAGGAUUGAAAAUCAUAUCCAGCUGGGGAGUUAGCAUGUGUCAAACAGGGUUUGGCUGUUAAAGAGUUUUAAGUGCGUGACUGGUACACCUCAGGGCAAGGCCCACUCUUCCAGGAGAAUCUGGUCUUGCUUUUCUUUCUUCUCUCCUCUAAUCAGUCCCAUUCAGUUUUCAAUUCUCUUUCUCACUUUGUGAAGUGCCAGACAAAUUACUGGCAUCCUCUAUGAGCCUCUGGUUUCUUUUCGGUUUCUAUAUCCCACCUCCAGCUUGAGAAGAUUUCAGGGGAAAAUCUUACUUCAAAUCCAUUUAAUAAGAAUCUAGGAACAUGGGACAGAAAGUUUUAGGUGACUUUUACCACUCUCCGUCCUCUGUGUUCUGAGCUCUCUUCUGAAAUGUGUAUAUUGUAUUAAUGUUUUAUGUUUAUUGUUCUUCCAAAAAUUCUUUUACUCUCUGGCUUCAACAUGAUGGCUUCUGAACGGUGGAAGAAAGCAGAAGGCUAGGACUACAGAUGCAGACUUUCUGACAGUCUUGCAAAACCACCAUACCUUAUCGAACAGACCAUUAUAAUGUUCAAUAAACACUUGAAACAUUUCUUCUUUGAGAAUUUCAUAACAAGUAUGAAUUGAAAUAUUGUCAUAGCCACAACACAUCUCCCUUCAAACUUCAUCCCAUCUUCUUUUAAAGACCCCAUCAAAUUCAAUUAGUAUUGUCUGUAUGUGUGUGAGUAUGGGGCUACCCGUUAGAGCGUUGACAACCUGCUAGUGGUCCCGCCCCCAAAGAAAAACCAUUCUCCUCUCCUCAGUAACACUAAACUCCAAUAGCUCCUCUUCCUCCUCCUUUUUUGGUGAGACAUCAUGAGUUCUUCCACCCACUCUGGAAGUUUGACUGGCUCGGUUUUGUGCAGGUCUUGAGCAGUAACCACAGCAGUAAUUCCAACAGUUGUGGUAGGCCCGGCAAACAGUCUUUUAUAUUCUUCUCCAUCCUCCAGCUCUUAUAUCCUUUCUGUUUCCUUCCACAAUGUUUCUUGAGCCUCAGUUUGUGUGAGGGGAUCGCGUACUGAAAUGCGUGGAGAGGGCUGCUCAAUGUGCCUCAGUUUGCUUGCUACAGUGUCCAGACUCAGCCUGCUACCCAGGGGGCCUCGUCUGUAUUUUCUCCAGCCUUUGCUGGGAUCUCCUCUGAUCUGUGUGUCUCACCUGAAGUCAACAGAGAUCUCAGCUUAAUGUGUAGGUAAGUCACUCUUUCCAUAUCAAACUCAUUAGCAUGUUCAGAUAUAAGAAGUGUGGGAGAACCAAUUCUUUGGAGACUUGAAACUAGGAAAGAUAUUGGAGUUGGUGCCACUGGGAGCAGUUGAUUCACCAGCCUGUUGUGACUUGUCCUUGAUGUGGGUGUGGUCAUUCCAGAGAGAUGGCAGCAGUCUUCUAGUGUUAAAUCAGGAGUAUUAGUAUCAAAAGUGGUCAACUGUGCAGGAAAUAGCUGAACUGAAUUGUCUAGAGGAAGAAGUGGGAAGGAAGAAUGCUCUGCAUGAUGAUUUUGUUACUUGCUAUAAGUCUAAAUCCACAGUCAUUGUGUUAUUGUGGCAUGACACUUUGAAGGGAGUGAUAAUCCCCUUUGGCAGAGAUAAGUUCCAAGUGAAUGCAGGCACCUUGAAUAAAUCGUAAAUAGUAUUAUUUUCAUACUCAAGCAAGUUAGCGAUGUGUGCUUCCUAGGUCAAAUGCUUGUUCCCAGUGACCACACGCCCUAGAGACUGCAGUGCUAUCAUGUGGUCACGAGAGCAUGCAAAGCUCCAUAUGCCUGCUUAAGAAGCAUCAGCAUGUACUGGAAAAUAAACAGUUACUUUAAGAAGGUAGUUCUCAAGGGCAACGACUUAGGAUCUGUUGGGAGUGUGACUUUCUGGGGAAUUAAAAAUGAUUGUUCUUUGAGAUGGUUUGUCUUUUUCAUUCCAGAUUUUCUCCUGGACUUAACGCAAAACCAGAAACAAUGCCUGCUUUUGUGCUGGCUCCCUUUGUAGAAGGAAAUAGUCACUCACAGUGAAAACUGCUAGUUUCAUAUUAGUAUAUCCAGGUUUCUCAGCUGAAAGACAGAAGACAAAAAAGAAACUGGAGAGGCUAUUCUCUCAAUCCUCCCAUAGACGUUAGUUGAGAUCAUCUGAGAAACUUUCACUAGUUUUUGAUGAUUGGAAUUCUAGCACAUUAAAUCCUUCAGAGAAUUUAGAAAAUUACAGUCAUGAGGAGAUAGUAAUUGAGCUCUUGAAUUUAAACUGAGGAGAAGAACUCAUCUGGGAUAGAAAACAGAGAUACCUGCUCACUGGAGACCAGGAGCUAAAAUAGAGACCUUUCAUUCUGAAACUCAGUGAAGCUUGAAACACACUAACAUGUGCUCCCCGAUAAGAUCAAACAGCAGUGCUGCAAGUGGCCUGACACAUUCCGCUCCAGUGGUGGACAGAAGCCUAUCUUGUCAUUCAUCUGCUACAGGCGCUUACUGGUGCUGCCAUCUUCUCCUAGACCCUACUUCCAAGGACAGCUGGCCUGAUGGAGAGAUGUCCUACUGCAUUUCCAGAGUGAUCUGGAAGUACAUUCCAGACAUAAGCACAGCCAUAGAAAACCUCACUCGCUAGGAUCCUACCACUGUGCUCUGAUUUUAUCCUGGUGGUUCCACAGUCCUUACUAUGGCUUUACAGGACCAUGAAGAUGCACAUGACCAUCAUUUGAUUCCAUACCUUAAUUAUACACCACCUAUAGAAGAAAUGUGGGGGGUAUGGGAGGACUCAGAAGUUUCUUACUGACGGAAGAAAUGUCUACAAGUUUCUAAUACCAGAUAUACCUAUGACAAAAUUCGGACUUUUUUUUCAUGGGGUUAAGAAGGCUGUCUUCUUCUUUUAUUUUGCUAGAAGGCCUUCCAUCUCCUCCAAGGAUGAGUAUCAAGAGAACCCUGCAGGGAGCAUGAAGACCCUCUCUAGAUGCCACCUGGCUCUUGCUGUAAUCCCCAGCAAUGUGUGAGCAAGGUCAUUGCCUGGCUGGAAGGAGAGGUGGAAUAAGUCAUGUCAUUUUAGUCAAGAAGGUGGUGGGUGUGUGGGGGAAGGGGCUUCAGUUUUUUCAUUUUAAUAUUUUUACUUUUGGAUGACAGAGGGUUUCUUAGAAAGGAAGGAAAUACAGAAAAUCUUCAUCAUGGAUUUUUAUCUUUAUGAUGUCAUCACACCUUAUUAGCACAAUCAGACUGUGUACAGUUAUAGUGAAAGUCUAGAUAAGGGAGAAAUGAUCACUUUCAGACUCAGUGUUUCUUUUGUAGAUGGUGAUAAGACACAAAGAUCUAUUAGGCAACCAGUAACAUCAUCCUUAGAGAUACAACAGCAGUUCCCCAAUUAUCUUUCCCUUUGUACCAUCCGACACAUAUACUCACACAUACACAUUCACACACAUGCGUGUACACACACACCUCACACCACAGUACACACAGAACUAGAUCUUCCUUUCUUUUGUUCAACAGUUGCGCCAAUACUUCUCUUUUUCAGAGGAUUAGAAUUUAUUGCAUGAUGUUGAAAUCAACUGCUACCUGUCAUGUGUAAUUCCCUUCUCCUAAGUAUGAACACCUCAAACAUAGGGAAAGAAUACAGUGUUACUGACCACACCAACUGAAUCCUCACAUGUUCCUUUAUGCUCGGCCAUGGAUAAAUCUGUUCAGGUGGAACUCUCUGAUUUGAUCCACUUUUUAAAAUAAUUAACCCAUCAGAAAAUGCUUAUUUUCUCAGACCAUAAGAUGGAGAUUGUCCCUCUAACGAAACUACAUGGAAGCCAGGCCUGAUAGCAUAGGUCUAUCAUUCUUGCUAAUCUGGAGGCUGAUUUGGGAGCAUGGCAAGUUCAAGGCCUGCCUAGACUACAUCAAGACCGGCUUAGGCAACAAAAUAAGACCAAGUCUCAAAAUUAAAUGUUAAGAGAGGGCUAGGGACAUGUCUCUAUGGUAAAAUUCUUACCUAACAUUCACAAAGCUUUAGGCUCAAUGACUAGUACCAUGAAAAAAAAAGAAAGGAAGGAAGGAAGAAAGAGACAGAAAGAGGGACAGAGUGAAAGAAAGGGAGAGAGA